ACUUUACAAUUGUUUUAUUCAAAGCGAAUGAAAAAACCUAGUAUAUUUUUCCUUUACAAAUGGGGAUUAAAAAAAAAGUUUUAUCAUUAGUUUUGAGGGUACUUAUCUUACCUUCAACAUAAAUGAUUUAUAUAUUAAAUUUGUUUUCUGAUAGCCAAGUACAUUUUAAUCUUUUUUAGGUAGCUAUGAGACGAUUUCAUAUCCGAGAGCCAAUGUCAUUUUUCUGAAAUUGAGGAUAAAAGAUUCUUGUGCCCAAUGUAGAAUAGAAUACACUUGCUCCAAAUGGUAGACAGUCCUUUUGCUCUUGGCCAAGUGUCAGGUUUUGAUAUCUGGUUGUGUGAAAAGACGUGUUUUGCUUUCUUCAGAGAAUAGGAGUCUUAAUUCUUUAGAUUUAUUUUUGUUUCAAAGAUGCAUCUGAAAUGGGUUUGUCACGCUUUAGAGUGUAAACCUUGCGAUGACUGGGCCUGUGCAGUCCAGCUUUUAGACGAUACUGUCACACAAAAAAGAUGAUAAUCGGCAACCGCACUGUCUUUAGGCCAAUGACCUCAGUACGCUCAUCUGCGGCCCUUCUGAUGAAGAACACAAGACUCUGAUUUUAUUGAACCAACAAAUAAAGAAGUCUAUGUACACGACAGUUGGGAGGAAGUGGUCACAAGAAUAUCACAUAAAAAUAAAUACUUUACACACUUUUCUUCCACGUCUAAAAGUGUUAAAAUUCUAAC
rnacentral:lncRNA from 1 species